rnacentral:rRNA from 1 species
UACGUAGGGUGCGAGCGUUAAUCGGAAUUACUGGGCGUAAAGCGUGCGCAGGCGGUUUUGUAAGCCAGAUGUGAAAUCCCCGGGCUUAACCUGGGAAUGGCAUUUGGGACUGCAAGGCUUGAGUGCGGCAGAGGAGACUGGAAUUCCUGGUGUAGCAGUGAAAUGCGUAGAGAUCCGGAAGAACACCAGUGGCGAAGGCGGCCCGCUGGGCAGUGGCUGACGCUGAGGCGCGACAGCGUGGGGAGCAAACAGG